AAGCUCCAGUACUCCUUCAGUCGAAUGUCGAAGAAGUUACUAUCAACAAGGUGAAUACCUUGACGCAGUCAACGGCGGCUAUCGGUGGCCGUGCCCGUUGCUCGGACUGGGUGGUAUCUGACCCCCAAACUGCCCCGUCAGCAACCAACCAACGAAAGUGAUCUUUGUAAAACCGGCGAUAAAGCACCCUUUGAAUCUGUGGUUUUCUAUACGAAUUUGGACUUUGGUGUCGGUUAACAAUUUCUACACCAUCGGCAUAGAUGUGAUUUGGAAGCCUGCAUUGACGAAUAUUUCGAAUUAUCCAAUGUGAUCACUUCACCGGAUGGCUCGCCGAAAAAUAGAUUAAGGUUAACAGAAUCAUGUUUUCAAAUACACAUAAAUAAAUAAAUAAACCUCUUAAUUAGGUGCGCAUAUGCUAUUAUAAAAACCAGUUUAGAAUCGAAAAUAAGCCAAAAUGUUCGUUAUUAAUGCAUUAUUUGCUUAUUUUUAUUAAGAGAUAA
rnacentral:sRNA from 13 species